rnacentral:rRNA from 1 species
CCUACGGGGUGCAGCAGUGAGGAAUAUUGGUCAAUGGCCGGAAGGCUGAACCAGCCAUGCCGCGUGAAGGUCAGUGCCCUAUGGGCGUUAAACUUCUUUUGUGCGGGAGCAAUAAUGGUCACGUGUGGCCAGACGAGAGUACCGUACGAAUAAGCAUCGGCUAACUCCGUGCCAGCAGCCGCGGUAAUACGGGGGAUGCAAGCGUUAUCCGGAUUUAUUGGGGUUAAAGGGUGCGUAGGCUGGGAGGUAAGUCAGCGGUGAAAUGCCCCGGCGCAACGGGGUGAAGUGCCAUUGAUACUGCCUUGCUGGAAUGCGGAUGCCGUGGGAGGAAUGUGUGGUGUAGCGGUGAAAUGCAUAGAUAUCACACAGAACACCGAUUGCGAAGGCAUCUCACGAAUCCGCGAUUGACGCUGAUGCACGAAAGCGUGGGUAUCAAACAGGAUUAGAUACCCCUGUAGUC